CCUACGGGAGGCAGCAGUGAGGAAUAUUGGUCAAUGGACGAGAGUCUGAACCAGCCAAGUAGCGUGAAGGAUGACUGCCCUAUGGGUUGUAAACUUCUUUUAUAAAGGAAUAAAACGAGGCACGUGUGCCUUUUUGCAUGUACUUUAUGAAUAAGGAUCGGCUAACUCCGUGCCAGCAGCCGCGGUAAUACGGAGGAUCCGAGCGUUAUCCGGAUUUGUUGGGUUUAAAGGGAGCGUAGAUGGGUUGUUAAGUCAGUUGUGAAAGUUUGCGGCUCAACCGUAAAAUUGCAAUUGAUACUGGCAGUCUUGAGUACAGUUGAGGUAAGCGGAAUUCGUGGUGUAGCGGUGAAAUGCUUAGAUAUCACGAAGAACCCCGAUUGCGAAGGCAGCUUACUAAACUGUGACUGACAUUGAUGCUCGAAAGUGUGGGUAUCAAACGGGAUUAGAUACCCUUGUAGUC
rnacentral:rRNA from 1 species